rnacentral:rRNA from 1 species
CGCUUACCACUUUAUGAUUCAUGACUGGGUUGAAGUCUUAACAAGGUAACCGUAGGGGAACCUGCGGUUGGAUCACCUCCUUA